UCCAGAUAAGAUGGGGCCUGAUUCUUCAAGACCUUGUAUAUGAGGAGCAGGAUUUUAAAUUCUGGAUAUAACAGGGAGAGAAUGAAGGGAAGCCAGUAUAGGAGAAAUAUGCUCUCUCUUUCUAGUGCCUGUCAGUACUCGCUUGCAGCAUUUUGGAUUAAUUGAAGACUUUUCAGACAAUGAUGACGAUGACAACGAUGAUGAUAAUGACGUUCUUUCCAGGGGUCAUGUACUUUGUGUUGCAGUGAUUACAUUAUUAAAGGCACUGUCUUCAUAAGCAGCACAGGCCUGAGGUAAAAUCACUUUUCCUCAGAUGCUGCCAGGCUGACCUGUUAGCCAACAGUCAGCCAGAGCAGAUGGAGCCCUCUAGUGUUCAUGUGAAGAACUGCUGAUAAGGAGCUCCUGCAUGGCCGUUCAUAUACACCUAAUAAUUAACAGAUAAACAACCAAAUGACAGAAAAGUUACUGUUUUUUCACAUCUGCGUUGGAAAUGUCAGGUUUUUUUUUAAUGUGUCCACAGUAAAAACAUUAAAAAUGAAAAGAUUCCAAAACAAGAUUUUAAAAAAAGAAAAUUUCAGUUUUCUGACUGCAGGACAGUUGGAGCGAUGAGCUGCUCUACACCAGUGUGUACAAAAACUGCAUUUGUUCCUUCUACUAGUUAAACUUGCAUACUGUGAUAAAUGCACUUUUUGUACACACUGUAGUUCUAGUAAAAGUACUUCUACUUUAACAUAGUGCUCACAACGAUACUGACUUCUUCCUCUGAAAACAACGUCAGAGUAUUUCAACAUACAUUUGAGUACUUCAUCAUACAUCAGAGUACUUCAACAUCACACACAGUACUUCAACACAUAUCAGAGUGCUUCAUGAUAUAUCAGAGUAUUUCAUCACACAUCACAAUACUUCAACAUCACACAGAGUACUUCAUUACACAUCUGAGUACUUCAACAUACAUCUAAGUACCUUAUCAUACAUCACAGUACUUCAACAUCACACAGAGUACUUCAUCACACAUCAGAGUAUUUUAUCACAUCACACAGAGUACUUCAUCACAUAUCAGAGUACUUCAAAACACAUGAGAAUACUUCAUCAUACAUCAGAGUACUUCAACACACAGAGAGAGGGGAGACCUCGGCUCAUCCAGCUGGACAGCCUGACCAGGAGGAGUCGAACAUUAACUCUGCUCUUCCAGGGCACCCUGCAGACUCAGCUGCUGGCAUUGGCUAGGGAGUGCGGCCGCCGCUGGGAUGGCGUGAACGCCAAACUGGAGUCCAUCAUAGGUUGACUGCAGCUCCUUGUCUCAGAGUGGGAGGGAUUUGAAGCACAAAGGGAGGAGCUUGUCGUUUGGUUGGCUGAUAUGGAUGUCCGCCUGAGUGAGGUUGACCAGCUGACAGGAAACACCUGAGAAAAACUGAAACAACUGCAGGUGUGGGGUUGUUUUGAUAUGACAUAUAUUUGAUAUGA